GAGACAUAUAUACUUACUACUGUUAAACGCAAUGGAUUAUGAACCAUUGUGAAAUAACUGAAGAGAAAGAUAUACUAACUACUGUUAAACGUAAUGAACUAUGCACCAUUGUGACAUUACUGUAGGGAUAAGGAUAUUUAUAGGCGUCGCACUGAAGUGCGGCGACUAGUAUGUAAUACGUUUUUGUUUCACUUAUGGGAGGAGAAGAAAAUUUACGGAUCAAUGUAUAUAUUUUUGUUAUAAGAAUUCCUUGCAUAGUAGUGAAUUUUUGUCUUAAUUAGUGUAAAUAAGUACUGCACUUGUGCCUAUUACAUUUACUACAACAUAUAUUGCCAAGAAUGCAAAGCUAAUUCUUUUAAUUAAUAACUGAUCACAGGGACUCGGCAAUAAUAAAAGAUCACAGGGACUGGGCAAAUACGCGAACCGGUGAAACUUUCUGGUUUUGUAUAAAAACAAAACAUAAUCAAAAUAUAUUUAUUUUGUGGUUUUUCUAACAGUAGCGCAGACUUUUGCUGUUCGAGUUUUUGGUUAACGCGUAUUUUUUCAAUUUAACAAGACGACAGCGAUUACACGGUUUAUUGCUUUAUUGAUAACCGUUACACUACAGUCACUUAUUAAGGCAGUAGGUGCCUAAUGAGAUCGGGAAUAGUCGGUCGAUAUCGCCGUAUUCGGAAAGCGUUUCGGCUAUAAGCGAUAUCUACGCAAAAUGAAAUUGCGAAAUAAAAGUGAGCGAUUUGCAAAAUCGAAAAAGAAGCAAACACCGAUCGACAACGUUGUGUUCGAUAACAAUUAUUCAUUUACCGAGCUCUGCGAUGGCGAUCUGUGUGAAAAUGACUCACGUAAAAGCUAUUCGCAUUUGCUAAAUGGCGUGAAAAGAGUAAGCAAAAGUGGGUAGGGGAUGGAAGAAGAUUGAUUGACUCGUUGAGCUGGAGGUUUUGCUAAACAAAUUACAGUAUGGUCAGUUUUGUAAUCUGUGUCCCAUUCCUUUGACAAUAUUUAACAUUGUUGGCGAACAACAAAAUUGCGUCAGUGGUUAUUUGUACGUUGUUUGUGCAAACCCUGACUGUAGAGAAGUCAACCGUGUUGCUUAUGGAAAGCAGCACCAUCUCAAGAUCAGGAGAAUGCCAUGCUUUGACGUAAAUACCAAGCUUGGAACAGCAAUGACAGUCAGUUUGGGCUGGCCGAUAAAGGUAAAUAACUUCCUACCCACUCUAAACAUAACGCUUAUUGCAAAUAGAAAUCUUAAGAAGAUGGAGGCUUGUGCUGGGGAGGCCACCAAGAAAAUUUCAACUGCGUCGUCUAACAAGACUGCCAUUGAUGCUUAUGAGAAAGAAAUGGAUUCGAGGUACACUAAUGCCUGAUAUUACUCAGAUUGCUGCUGUGCAUUUGAAGACGGGUUUUAAGUUCUCGACAUAUGUGAAGACAACAGUGCCAAUUUCUUCUGAAGCUCAGAAAGUGAUUGGCAUCUCUGUUGAUGAUCAUGGCAUAAUGCGUGUAAAUGGUGGAAGUGUUGAUAGUCUAUCAAUUAAAACUUCUCUACAUGAUUGUAUGAUGUGGCUUGCAAAGUUUCCCAGAGCCAUUUUUGUUGCUCAUAAUGGGCGCAGGUUUGAUUUUCCGGUUUUGGUCAGUGUAUUGCUGAACACACACUGUUUUGAAACGUUUUGUAAUUGUGUAAGCAGUUUUGUUGACUCUUUGCCGGUAUUCAAAAAUCGUAUCCUGGACAGUCACACAAAAAGGAAGAUCUAGUAAACGUGUUCUCCAGGCAACCUGCAACGCCCACAGUGCUCCUGAUGAUGUAAAAGCACUGGGAUCUUUGCUUAAAACAUGUAAAAUUACUGACAAUAUGGCCAACAUAUUUACUGUUACUGCAAUCCAUAAUUCAGUUUGUUAAAGUCAUGAAAAGCCUUAAAGGCAAAGAACAUUAGAGUGUUAGACGUGCUGUUGCAUAGAGGAACUCUUAACCGACGAACAGCUGAAAACAUUGCGGGAUAUGAACUGACCUUGUGUCAUAUGAAAGCCAUAUUUUCUAGUUCAGGAGAGGAUGACUUUAGGGAUACUUUCAUUGCUAAAAACAAUUAGGGACUACCAAAAUUCACAAACGCAAAAAAUAUUUUAUCUGAAGUGGUCCCUAAAAUCGCUCAGUUUUUCAGUGACGAAAAGUGACGGCACGAGAUAAUAUGGCUUUCAAAUGACACGCGGCCAGUCAAAAUCACGCAAUGGCUUUAUACUGAUCCUAAAUUAUGUACAUCUAGUUGUCAUUAAUCUGGCUGUUUUUAUUAAAAGAUAAGUUGUAUAUUAUUGUGCUACAUGUUUAAAGAAACAUGAUAACUUAUACAUCUUUAUGCUACGUUAUAUUGGGACAGCUUUGACAUUUUGUGGUGCACUGCGCCUGAAUUCAUAUGUUGCCUUUUGACUUUAGGUGAUCUUAAGAUUGUAUUAUUAAUGUAUUAUUAUAUCAAUAUUAAUUCAAAGUUAGCUAGAUUUCUUCACAUGUCAUGCUUUAUAUCUGUUGCUUUUAAUAAGCAACUAGAAAACCCCCAACAACAAGUGAUAUACAAAUUUAUACUUAAAUUCAUUGCGUGAAAAUGUAUUGGGAUAGGCAUACUCAAAGUAAAAUUUAUUGAGAUAGGAACGGUAAAACUUCCUGAAAUUCAUUCAGUGUGUAGAAAAUAUUUUUGAAAUAAAUAUGUACAAUAUAUGCAUUUCAUUACACUACAAGUGCCAUAAAACGUAAUUAAAGUUUCUUGUCACUGAA